rnacentral:misc_RNA from 1 species
GAGAACCACAGAUUUCCAUAGGUGCUUUGUGAGAGUCGCUGUCAGACAAACUUUCAGCCGGGUCCAAUAUCACGCGAUCAAUGUGAUAGCCACAGAUGUGAAAUGCUGGUCCUGACACAGAAGGAAUUGAAACUGCACGAGAAAUAGCUCCAACUACAGAAAUAUUCUUUUUCUGGUUUGCUACGUGCAAAUUCGCCUGUGCGGCAGCUAAGGUUCCAGGCCGGACAAGCACAUUCAGGUCAGUUGCUCUUGCAAAUGGUACUGAAUAGAAGCACUUUGAAUUGCCAAACAACAAUCUCCCUUGGGCAACCAAAAUCUCAACCGAAUCCUGGAGCCCACUUUCUUUCCCAGAUAUGGAUUUCUGGAGUCCCUGUCUAGCAGCCCGGCUUAAUCUAAAAAGAUAGUUACUCGGCAUAUCGGCUUAUUAACCACAGCUGAUUGGCUUGCACCUCUUUAUAGGAAAAAACACAACAACCACUACUAUACACAAAAACUAUCAUAACGCUCAGUACAUUUAAUAUCAAGCAUCAACUCAUGCACUACCCUCCUUCUCCAAUAUAACUUU